rnacentral:tRNA from 1 species
GGGGAUGUGGUGGAAUCGGCAGACACGCAGCGUUCAGGGCGCUGUGAGCGCAAGCUCGUGGGAGUUCAACUCUCCCCAUCCCCA